UUUGGAGGGCAAGUCUGGUGCCAGCAGCCGCGGUAAUUCCAGCUCCAAUAGCGUAUAUUAAAGUUGUUGCAGUUAAAAAGCUCGUAGUUGAAUUUCGGGAUCAAUAUACCGGUCGUGCCUUGGUAUGUACUGGUAUCAUUGAUUUCUCCCUUCUGACGAACCAUGAUGUCAUAAUUGGUCAACGAAUCAGAC
rnacentral:rRNA from 1 species